GAUGAACGCUGGCGGCGUGCCUAAUACAUGCAAGUCGAGCGAGCGGACGAGAAGCUUGCUUCUCUGAUGUUAGCGGCGGACGGGUGAGUAACACGUGGAUAACCUACCUAUAAGACUGGGAUAACUUCGGGAAACCGGAGCUAAUACCGGAUAAUAUUUUGAACCGCAUGGUUCAAAAGUGAAAGACGGUCUUGCUGUCACUUAUAGAUGGAUCCGCGCUGCAGUAGCUAGUUGGUAAGGUAACGGCUUACCAAGGCAACGAUGCAUAGCCGACCUGAGAGGGUGAUCGGCCACACUGGAACUGAGACACGGUCCAGACUCCUACGGGAGGCAGCAGUAGGGAAUCUUCCGCAAUGGGCGAAAGCCUGACGGAGCAACGCCGCGUGAGUGAUGAAGGUCUUCGGAUCGUAAAACUCUGUUAUUAGGGAAGAACAUAUGUGUAAGUAACUGUGCACAUCUUGACGGUACCUAAUCAGAAAGCCACGGCUAACUACGUG
rnacentral:rRNA from 1 species